GAUCAAUAACGAUUUUUUAAAACCUAAGUAAGCGAAUAUUAAAGUACCUACGAAAUGUCUUUCAGAACAAUUUCAUGUACUCACUAAAUGCUCGAACAAAUUUGAUAGCCUAAUUAAGGAGACACUUUUUAUCAGAAAACUUAAACCAUCUCUAAAUGUGCAAACGGACUUGAUUCACGCAAAGGUAUUCACUUGAUGAACUCCUUUGUUGUUAUUUUGAUUUGUAGAGACUGUAGAAGUAUAGAAAUCAAAUCUUCGCAUUAAUUUAUUGCGGGCUUAUGCAUUAUAACUGCAUAAGGCCCGCGAAGUCAGGACAAAUCUUGUGGAUAUGUAUGUAUACGGGAUGACACGUGACAGACUUCUGGGAGCACAUUUUGCCCUAUAGGUAGACUGGGUCUACCUUUUGAGUGAUGCUUUGAGUGAUCCUUCGCCGGGUCCUUCGAUGCCAGCCAUUGCCAGCGUUCUGCAGCCUUUGCUGGGCGUAUCUUUUCAUAUCAUGCUGUCUGCGCCCAUAUUUUUACUUUUUUCCCUUCACUUAACACAAGCGCGCAUCGCAAAGGCAAACGACUAAAAAACGAAUAAAAAAAUUAGUAAAAAAAAAAAAAAAUGCCUGUCUCUCUAGGAUGUGAACUCACAGCCUCCAGGUCUCUAAAGCAGAUAACUUCUCUGCUGCGCCACACCGACGACUGUAUUUGACUUAGAGAAAACAUUGAUUUUAUCGGUUUGUAGGGAAGCGCUGAGUAGUUAGAACGGCAGGCUCAGCCUCAAGUACGUUCCUAGCACGAACCGACAAGUCCUGCGAAAGUAUUACCAAACACAUUUAUUAUCGUAUUUUUAUCAUUCUAGGAAUUGUCCACUCGUAAGACUAGAAUACGCGAACCCAAUGGAACAACACUAGCCAUGAGCCCACAAGUACGCAUUGCGGACCGUUUAUUCAUUUUGCCUUGAGAAUGGUGUCACGAUGACGCCGAAACGUCGGCUAUUAACUUAAAUAUUCGCUUGCUUAGAUUAUAUAUCAGUGCUGAAAACAUAAUGAAUAUACACCAUGUACAUACUUGGGGGCAGGACGUUCUAGAACUUUAGAAAGUUCCUCUGAGACAUAUUUCACUUUGGAGUAAGAAGACAUGAGGUUUUUAAAGGGGCAUGACCGUUGUUUAGGGUCUGUGUAUAAAUAAUUGCACUAAUACCUAAGUUUUUUUGUCCUUCAGGGAUCCGUAUACAAGUUUCUCAUGCAGCCUAUAAGAGAAAGUACACCGUGUGGGGAGUAUCAAGUGUUUCUGCAGAAAAGCUACAGUUUGAUGUUGAGGAUGGAGCAACUGGUCGCAAAAGCAAAACAACUGUUGCACAGUAUUUUAAGGAUACAUACAAGUUGCAUUUAAGAUAUCCUCACCUACCCUGCUUACAAGUUGGC